CAGCAACAUUGAGUCCCAUAAUUGAAAUCACUGUUGCCCAGCACGUACAACAACAACAACAACAAUAACAAUUAUUAACGGGAGCAACAAUGCAAACAAUCAACAAACAAGGUGCCCAAGUCAGGUAGCCAACUAGCAACGCCCGAACGGACGGAGGACAGCUAAGGCCCAGAGGCCAAAGCCCCAAUGGAGCCCAAGCACACAACAACAGCAACAACAACAACAACAACAACUACAACAAUGAAAACAACAAAAAACCUGACCCCAACCCAGACCCAGACCCAGUUUUUGGGACCUGCUGGCCGAAGCGAAAAGUGUGUGAAGGCCAAGGACGCGAUCCAGUCGGCUGAACAGGCUGAGGCAACUCUUGCUAACCCAACAAGAGAGACAAUUUAAAUGCAAGCGCUACUUACAAAGGAAAUUACAAUGCAAGAGAUUCCGAUCUUCGAUUCCCAACCAAAUCAAGUAGAGCUUAUUUACUGUUUAUUGUGUCGAAUGGGGGCAAAAGGAUGGCAUUGAGAAUCAUAGAAGUAUAAUACGGCC
rnacentral:sRNA from 1 species